AACGGAACACUGGAGACGGCUCUGUCUGUUCGAGCAGACUGAUACCGGCCGAAAU
rnacentral:sRNA from 1 species